AUACGGAGGAUCCGAGCGAUAUCCGGAUUUAUUGGGUUUAAAGGGUGCGCAGGCGGCCAUUUAAGUCAGCGGUUAAAUCGUGGGGCUCAACCCCAUUCUGCCGUUGAUACUGGGUGGCUUGAUUGCGGUCGAGGUUGGCGGAAUUCGUUGUGUAGCGGUGAAAUGCAUAGAUAUGACGAAGAACACCGAUUGCGUAGGCAGCUGACCAGACCGCAAAUGACGCUCAUGCACGAAAGUGCGGGGAUCGAACAGGAUUAGAUACCCUGGUAGUCCGCACAGUAAACGAUGAAUACUUGUUUUCGGCGAUAUAAUGUCGGAGGCAAAGCGAAAGCGAUAAGUAUUCCACCUGGGGAGUACGCCGGCAACGGUGAAACUCAAAUGAAUUGACGGGG
rnacentral:rRNA from 1 species